UACGAACUGUGCGAACGUUAUUCGGAAUCACUGGGCUUACAGGGUGCGUAGGCGGCUUUUCAGGUCAGGUGUGAAAGCCCCCGGCUCAACCGGGGAACUGCGCUUGAAACCGAAAGGCUCGAGUCAGCUAGAGGUACACGGAACUUCCAGUGGAGCGGUGAAAUGUGUUGAUAUUGGAAGGAACACCGGAGGCGAAAGCGCUCUGCUGGACCUUAACUGACACUGAGGGACGAAAGCUAGGGGAGCGAAUGGG
rnacentral:rRNA from 1 species